rnacentral:rRNA from 1 species
CCUACGGGUGGCAGCAGUCGAGAAUCUUUCACAAUGGGGGAAACCCUGAUGGUGCGACGCCGCGUGGGGGAAUGAAGGUCUUCGGAGUGUAAACCCCUGUCAUGUGGGAGCAAAUUAAAAAGAUAGUACCACACGAGGAAGAGACGGCUAACUCAGUGGCCGCAGCCGCGGUAAUACGGAGGUCUCAAGCGUUGUUCGGAACCAUUGGGCGUAAAGCGUGCGUAGGCUGUUUCGUAAGUCGGGGGUGAAAGCCGCGGGCUCAAGCCGCGGACGGCACAUGAUACUGCGAGACUAGAGUGAGGGAGGGGGAGCCGGAAUGCUCGGUGUAGCAGUGAAAUGCGUAGAUAUCGAGAGGAACACUCGUGGCGAAGGCGGGUUCCUGGACAUUAACUGACGCUGAGGCACGAAGGCCUGGGGAGCGAAAGGGAUUAGAUACCCGAGUAGUC